AACUUUCAACAACGGAUCUCUUGGUUCUCGCAUCGAUGAAGAACGCAGCGAAAUGCGAUACGUAAUAUGAAUUGCAGAUAUUCGUGAAUCAUCGAAUCUUUGAACGCACAUUGCGCCCUUUGGUAUUCCAAAGGGCAUGCCUGUUUGAGCGUCAUUU
rnacentral:rRNA from 1 species